CAACUACUCCCUCUAUCCCAAAUUUCUUGUCUUAGAUUUGUCUAGAUACGGAUGUAUCUAAUACUAAAAUGUGACUUGAUACAUCUGUAUCUAGACAAAUCUAAGACAAGAAUUUUGGGACGAAGGGAGUACUUU
rnacentral:pre_miRNA from 1 species